CCUACGGGAGGCAGCAGUGAGGAAUAUUGGGCAAUGGGAGAGAUCCUGAACCAGCCAAGCCGCGUGAGGGAAGACGGACCUAUGGGUUGUAAACCUCUUUUGUCGGAGAACAAAACCCGGGACGUGUCCCGGACUGCGUGUAUCCGCAGAAAAAGCAUCGGCGAACUCGGUGCCAGCGGCCGCGGUAAUACGGAGGAUGCGAGCGGUAUCCGGUUUUAUUGGGGUAAAGGGGUGCGUGGGCGGUCCGUUAAGGCAGCGGUAAAAUUGCGGGGCUCAACCCCGACGGGCCGUUGAAACUGGCAGACUUGAGUUGGCGAGAAGUACGCGGAAUGCGCGGUGUAGCGGUGAAAUGCAUAGAUAUCGCGCAGAACUCCGAUUGCGAAGGCAGCGUACCGGCGCCAGACUGACGCUGAGGCACGAAAGCGUGGGGAUCGAACAGGAUUAGAUACCCCUGUAGUC
rnacentral:rRNA from 1 species